GGUGAUGGUGGUCUGGGCAUGUGGGGUUUUUUUCCUUGGAGGGAGAUGGCAGGUUGGGAAGUAUGGUAUGAAAUAUGGUUAUGGGUGGUAACUUUUUUGCUGCUGUUGUUGUUGUUGUUGGCAGUGGUGGUGGAUAGGGCAGACGCAAAUUAUGGGGUUGACGGUGGCGGGACUUCCCUUCUCUACUCUUCUCUAUUUGUGUUUGUUUAGGUUUGCUGAUAUUAAGUGUGAGGGGAUAAAAUAUACAAUUAUGUCACUUGGCCUUACUAAGGCAGAGACCUCAGACGGGUUGUCGCUAGUGAAGAAGCUCGGUCAACCCUGCACCGGAGUUCGGUUCACAUUCGAUGGAACGCCGACCUUGCUAGGGCAAUGGUCUCCACCGAGCUGCCGAGACCUGCGGGCUUGGAGAUCUUCUGCGCUAGAGCUCGGUGUAGUCGCGAAUAAAGGUACCAUCCGAGCCAAAGCUUUCGUUACAUCAUAGGUGCCGCUGGUCAACGAGUUUGGAACAAUAACUGUGUUAGAAACUUGGAUGAAGGAUGAC
rnacentral:lncRNA from 1 species